AAAAAGUCAUAACAUUGCACUUCGAGGCAUUAAGUUGUAACAUAUUUGCACAGCACCAUGACUGAAAGCUAUUGAGAUCAGAUUGCAAACGAGAGUGAAAUGAAAUGUCCUUAUACUGGACACAGAGUUAACAUCAUCCGCAUACAUAAGUACUCGAGAAUUUGUUAAUACAGAAGGCAGGUCAUUAAUAAAGAGUGUGAAAGGUAAGGGGCCUAAAUGGCUACCCUGUGGUACUCCAGAAGUUACCAUAACAGGUAAAGAUAAGGAGUUUUUGAAAAGGACCCUUUGAGACCUAGAACACAGGUAGCUAGAAAUCCAUCUCAACAGAUUGGGCGGAAACCCUAGAAGGUUGAGCUUUUGUGCAAGAAGAGAAUGGUUUACGGAAUCGAAUGCCUUACUGAAGUCAGUGUAAAUAACAUCCG
rnacentral:lncRNA from 1 species